UUACAGCGAGUUAAUGCCUAGUCAUGCUCUGGAGCGUGCUACGGAGCCUCAGCUCCGGCCUUUCACAGUGUGUGUCUAUAUAACAGCAUGUAACAAUGUAAAUGAUUGCACUGGCAUUAGCCCAGCUAGAAUAGAAAGUACCCAGGGAAAUGCUGCUGACAGAUACUAUAGUCUUAUGGUGUGCCCUGUCAGACAUAAUGUGCUGAGUCUCAAGAGUCUGCCAGAUUGAUGAGCUCCAUCGGCUCGCCUGCAAACCAACAAACAACGCCGGCUGAGUCAGCAAAGUGUCCAGGCAGCUCAUCUCCUGCAAUUGUUUUUAUUUCAGAUGUCGGGAAAAGGAACACUGAUACUCUAUAACCAGAGCAUGUUCCCCUUGUUAGUUCUGAUUUCUCUGAGAAACUAAAGUGGUUUUUCCUGGUGCCAUUUUCAUUACCGUCUCUGUGAAGAAAAGCAAAAGCUGCAUAAUUAGGCAUUGAAAGGGAUUGUAUCUGUUCUUAUCGGUGCCUCCCAGCAGGGCCAGAUUUUGAGCUCAGUUACCCUUGUGUAAAUGUGGAGUAACCCCAUUGAUUUAAAUCUGGCCAUUCUGUUUGUACACCAGCUGCUGGCAGCCCUGGAGAACAGGCUGGACCUUCUUUUGGAGACAAUCAGUGCCUUACUUGAAGUGGCCACUGGCAAAAUUCUCAAGGUGUCCCUUACAUAGGAAGCUCCCUUGUUUUAGUUUCCUUUUGGUUUUCAAUUAUUUGCAAUGGGAAUGCAGAAUUAUGAACAGACUAUUUUAUUUAUUGCAAUGGAGAACAACAUAACUGUGUCAUGCCCAUCUGCUACUCUGGGUGCCUUUGAUGUUAUUUAAAAAACAAUAAAACUCAGCAAUAAACUCCCAGGAAGAGCUCCAGCAAAAUUCCACUCCCAACACAAUGCAAUGGGGAAGACCUCCGUCCCCAUAAAUAACCUCCCACAUCAAGCGCCAACUGGUCCAGCAGCCCAGACAAGAAGAUGCAUCUGGUAGGGUGCUCUAAAGGACAACAAUCCUGGGCUAUUGCGGCCCAAGGACAGCAGUUUCUUUCACACCUGAGGGCUCCUUGCAGGGAUAAUGAUUUAUAAUGAAGUUGCUAAUGCACAUAAUUCAGCACGUGGUCUUUUGUCCCCAGUCUCCAUUUGAUUUUUGAUGAGUUCAGAGGUAUGGACAAAAAUAUCACUGUUGACUCAUGCUAGCCAGUCCUUCGUUCUUGAAUCGGAAAGCUCUGAUCAGCCCACGGAGCAGCAGAAUGAGAUUAGGAGAUGACUCCUGAGCUCCCAGAUGCCUGUGGGAAAUACUAAGACUUGAGGUUCACUUCUUCAAAAAAAACCCAACACUGUGCUCAGCACACCUGCUAUCCCAGGCAUGGGGUUUUCUUGACAAUCAGGCCAUAUCAUGUAGUACCACAAAGAGUUCUGUGAUGUGGCAAAUAUGGCAGGACUACGAUGAGCCCAACAAGCUCAAUUUCAUGCAUGUAUUAUUUUAACACAGCCUUUGAACUCAGAUCUCUUCGAGACACAAGGCAAGUGCUUUAUACAAACUUUAGCCCAGUAGCUAUGGUCUCUCUGACUAUUCCCGGACUGAUGAAUACACACCCUGUGAUGUGUUGUUGCUUAGAUGUCAGACACUGUUAUAUGUUACUGCUUCAAUAAUUGCUGGUUUGUAUGCACUUCACAUGAAUUUGAAUUGACACAAGUGCAACAGUGUCGACAGGGUGAAGCAGCGCAUCCUUGCCCUUCUCCAUGAACAGAAUGGAUUCUCAUGCAUAACUGCUUCAGAUGUGACCUGCUCACCGUAGCAGCCACAUGCCCGUUCAGCAGGGGACCUGCUGAUGACCACAGUUGGAUGGAUGUCCAGUGUGUCACAUUCGGGCGAUGUGGCCAAAUAUAUCUUCCUCAGAGGAUGGACGAGACUGCCGUCUGCAUUUGGCACUGCUUACAGCAUUUCAGCCGUGUAGUUUUCCAGGCUACCCACUCAAUGCUAGAUUGAGACUACAGACCCAGACUACAGAUGGACUGGCAAUGCAAUAUCCACUUUACCCAUCCAGUCCCAAGGGCACUGUUCCCUCCACAAGCCUAUUGCUUUUUGCCAACAAAAAAAAAAAAAAGAAGAAGGCAGUCUGUUGGGCAAAUAAAUCUUUCCAGAGAAAACAGAUCUGUUUCCAAAUCAGUCAACUGUGCUGAGCUGGAAAGGAAGAAAUUUUAUUUUUUCAGGAUGAAAGCAAAACAAGAUCCUUCCCUGUUUACCCUGUCUCACCCAUUUCUAAAGAAGAAUUCAGAACACAGGAUGAAUCCCUGAAGAUCUUUAUAACAUGAGAAGAGCUGUGCAAAUUAUUCUGAGCUCCAGACCCACUAAAACUUAGUUCUGGGGUUGAAGUUGAACUUUGGCUUUUACUCACAAUAUUCAGUGAACAUGGGCUGUGGAUAUUUGUACUGAAGAGCUUGACGAUUCCCCUCCCCACAGCCAGUCUCUCUCUAUUUACUCAACUUCCCGCCUCCCUCAACAAACCCCAAGACCUUCCUGAAGACAUUGGAUCUGAGAAGUGGAGGGAAGGGAUAGUCUGGAAGGCCAGCCUGGGAGACCUUUUUUUACUUUGUUGACCUCAAUCCCCAAACCACGCUUGAUUCGUUUACUUUGAAUCCUUGUGACUCAAAUCAUGCAUGGAUUCCAACGUGUCAAGCUGCCGAGAAGCUACUCUGGGUUGUAACAGCAUGCGCACUGACCUGGUCACACUCUGAAGGUAUUCCUGGAAGCACUACCUCUGGAGGCCUAACAGAAAGAUGUCUGCUCCCCACCUCUUCAUAAGAAACAGAGGAGGCAAGGCAAGCCCUUCGACAGGCAGUGAGUGGUCAGCAUGAGAGAGGGACAGGAGGAGUGUGCUGUUAUGAGGACUCCGAGAUAAAGCUACUCCUGGUAUAGGUGGAGUUAUGAUAUGCCAUUUCUUGUAUGCUACAAAUGCUCCACCCAUGUGCUUUAAGAGGGAUGCUGGAUACCUUGUUCAUUUGUCACAUCAAACAUCAUGCUAUACAUUUGGCAAAGGUCUAAUCUGGAGGUGUGUAUUUGUCCAUCUAAGCCAUAAGCCAAUCCAGGCGGUGUAGGUGGCAGCCAUCACUUAAAACAUCUGAGUACCCCAGGGCAAAUAAAAUGAAGACAGUUGUAAAAGUUUUUGAAGUCCUGUUGCAAUCAGUGAACUAACUACAGACAAACUUUCAAGUCUAGGUGUGAAGUAGGGAGUAUGGGUCAUGUUCUGCCCAGACUUACUUCCUGUGCCAUCCACUGAAACCACUGGAGUGACUCCCAAGUUUUCUUUGAUAUAACAGAGAAGAAUUAGGCCUAAUAUCUCUUCCCCAACUGAAAAAGAAAAAUCCAUGUUCACCUACUGACUGAAGGAACCACUGGCAAAGUUUACCAAUUUCAAGUGAACUUGGGCUGCUGGAAAAAAAGACUUAGGCACUCUCUUAAAGGCCAAAAGAGGAGCUUGGCUUUUCCUGCUUGGUUUCUGAAAAACUGACAUGAUGGACAGAUUCUCAAACAGUCACAAUUAACAAACAACUAUCAGUGAAGAGAAACCUAGGAAGGAAAACGCAGGUAAAAGGUGCCUAGCACACAAGUGAGGACCCCGCUUGUGGAUGAACUUGGUGAAAAGAGGUACAGCCACAGGAACAUUGGAUCUAAAGGAGCACUUCAAGCCAGAGGAGCAAAGAACAGGACAGCAAGAAUGGGAUUGGAUUUACAGCCCAGGAUAGGAAAAGCUGAUUCUUCUCUGAAGUGACACAGUACAUUGUUGAGUAAUCUUUUGUUCUUGUUAGUAACAAUACAUUUGGUAUUAACUGCACAGAGUGAGGAAGAGCAGUGUGUACAAAGCUCGCGAAGAUAAAUGUGCCAGUAACCUAUAGUUUAUUAUUGUAAGUAGUAAGUACUUGACAAUAUUCUAUGUUAUUUAUGCUCCUGGUACAAUAUUUGGGUUUUCCCUUGUAAAGUUCUCAACAUUUAAAAUAAUCACUUUUGUCUUAGUUUGUCUCUGCCUCUCCUCACAGCUAGGCUAGCCUGGUCACUGCAUAGCGACCAAGUGCAUGUGGGAGCCAAGUGAUGUACAGAGAGAGCAUUUUCCCGUGGCAAUUAGCUCUGCAUUGUUCAGAUUUGUUACCCAGUUUGGAGUCUUGACAUCCCAAUGUAUCUUCCCACAUACAAACAUCUUAAGAAAAUUCAUCAAACAAUCCCUGGAGACGCUUGGAAAAAACAACUCCAAUAUGUGGCAGCAGCUGAUACACAAACGUUCAAAUCCAUCCACACGUAUUCCCGACCCAUCACCACUGUAGUAGGCACAGUAUUUCCUCAAAAUCCCCCUCUCCCCCGACGAUGAAAGACCAUGAGGAACUGAAUCCAGGAAUGGAGGCUCCAAACACUUCACUUGAGGCUACGCACAGUUCUCAGUGCAGAACAGUGUGUAAAAGCCCCUAUUUUUGGCUUUGGAGAGCUGCAAAUGAUGGGCCUUGACAUUCCUAAAUGCAGACACUAAAUUCAAUGAUUGGAUUUUAAAAGAGGGAGGAGAUGAACACGAAGGCAGAGUCUGAAACAGACAUGGUGAAAUAUACUGUACUAACAUGCCGAGCUGCCUCGUAUAAUUAACAUCAGUAUAAACCGUAUCUUCCAGCUCAGCUUCAAUUCAUAGGGUGUUUGUUCAGGAGCCUUCUUGUUACAGUGUGGCAUUCCUGGCAGCAUCCCAAGCCUGGCUAACCUGUCGGUCUCACCUCCUGCACCAUUUAACUGUCAGUUAUGUUUUUGUGGUUGACUGGUCAGUGAAAUGACGAAUGAAUAAAUGUUUGUGCUAACUGAUCUACUGGCAGAUGCCUCAUUAAGCAGAAAUGGACAGUGGAUGAUAUGCUGUUCAUGUGGUUUUGUUUAACUUCAGCAAAUGCCGGCUGGGGUGAGGGAGCAUAUUUUAUAUCAGACAUGUUUGGAAAAUAAAAUACUAAAUUUAUCCCUCAAUCUGUUCCCCUCCCCUCCUCUCUACCCCUCCUCCCAGCCUGUUAAAAGAGUGUUGAAAUAAGGAACUCCUAACUGAGUCCAGCUUUAAGUUCUGUU